rnacentral:lncRNA from 1 species
GUGCCAUAAGAUAUAGAUUUACAAUAUCUUGAUUUUUUUCAUCUAAAGAGGAAUCAUCACCGUUACUCCAUAUUGCUACCACAACCUUUUUCUUGGAUUUCUUAAAAAUUUUCUUGAGGAUUACACAAUUAGCGUUGAAAUGGCCCGACUUUUUGUAUUCAUAGCAUAGUGGCUGCUCCUUUUCUUUCUUCCUAUCUUUGCUUUAUUCUUCUUUGCCUAAUGG